rnacentral:rRNA from 1 species
UACGAAGGGGGCUAGCGUUGCUCGGAAUCACUGGGCAUAAAGCGCACGUAGGCGGAUUGUUAAGUCAGGGGUGAAAUCCUGGAGCUCAACUCCAGAACUGCCUUUGAUACUGGCGAUCUUGAGUCCGGGAGAGGUGAGUGGAACUGCGAGUGUAGAGGUGAAAUUCGUAGAUAUUCGCAAGAACACCAGUGGCGAAGGCGGCUCACUGGCCCGGUACUGACGCUGAGGUGCGAAAGCGUGGGGAGCAAACA